GCAGUGGUGGUUCAGGGGUAGAAUUCUCGCUUUCCACGUGGGAGGCCUUGGUUCGAUUCCCAGCCGAUGCC
rnacentral:tRNA from 1 species